rnacentral:rRNA from 1 species
CCUACGGGGGGCAGCAGUGGGGAAUAUUGGACAAUGGGGGCAACCCUGAUCCAGCCAUGCCGCGUGUGUGAAGAAGGCCCUCGGGUUGUAAAGCACUUUCAGUGAGGAAGAACGCCUGGUGGUUAAUACCCAUCAGGAAAGACAUCACUCACAGAAGAUGCACCGGCUAACUCCGUGCCAGCAGCCGCGGUAAUACGGAGGGUGCGAGCGUUAAUCGGAAUUACUGGGCGUAAAGCGCGCGUAGGUGGCUUGAUAAGCCGGUUGUGAAAGCCCCGGGCUCAACCUGGGAACGGCAUCCGGAACUGUCAAGCUAGAGUGCAGGAGAGGAAGGUAGAAUUCCCGGUGUAGCGGUGAAAUGCGUAGAGAUCGGGAGGAAUACCAGUGGCGAAGGCGGCCUUCUGGACUGACACUGACACUGAGGUGCGAAAGCGUGGGUAGCAAACAGGAUUAGAUACCCUAGUAGUC